rnacentral:rRNA from 1 species
GACGAACGCUGGCGGCGUGCCUAAUACAUGCAAGUCGAACGCAGUUGCGAGCGGGUGAGUAACGCGUAGGUAACUGCCUCAUCGCGGGGGAUAACUAAUGGACACGAUAGCUAAUACCGCAUACGGUGAGAUGGACCUGCGUUGUAUUAGCUAGUUGGAGAGGUAAAGGCACACCAAGGCGACGCAACAUAGCCGACCUGAGAGGGUGAUCGGCCAACCUGGGACUGGGACACAGCCCAGUGUCCUACGGGAGGCAGCAGUAGGGAAUCUUCGGCGAUGGACGGAAGUCUGAGCGUGCAACGCCGCGGGAGUGAAGAUUGUUUUCGGAUCGUAAAGCUCUGUUGUUAAAUAAGCGGUACCGAACGAGAAAGGGACGGCUAACUACGUGCCAGCAGCCGCGGUAAUAC